GAGAGUAUGAGCGUGCAGCGUUUAAAGCGUGGAAGUACUGACCUUACUUUGAGUUUGAUUCCAUAAAAAGUGACAAAAACAUUAGCGUCCAUCGUGCGUGGGAAGAAAACUUCUUUUUACAGCGAAAAAACCCCUAAACUUCCAACAAGCACCGAGUAGCUACGACGUAAUGGGAAACUCACAGAGAAACUUACGGAUCCUUCCACUGACCGCUGCACACCUGCACCAGGGUAAACCUCCGCCUACCCCACUCCUGCUUUACAGUGACACGCAGGAACAUUCAGGUCGAGGCUGAGUACUAAAGGUUCAGUCCUGGUUACUAAUCUGGCCUCCAUGUUUGUGGACAGCAGGUUAACAGCGGUUAAAGGUCAGAGAGGUCGGACUAAAGCACAAAAAUCUAUAAACCUGUGUCAUACAGUGAAAUGAAAACAAAACACAUCGACUGGCGAGGAGUCCGUCUUCGCAUCAUAACGAGUCUCAUAUCGAGGCUGACGGAGAUAAACACGCUUUCAGACGUGAUGGAGACUCAGGCGGUGACGAGGAUGCGGAGAGCUGAAUGAAAUCAGCCCAGAUCGAACUUCCUGCUGCCGAUGGUAUCUGCUGUGUGAGCUGCUGGUUUUAUUACAGGGAACAGCGGGCGCGAGGGAAAGGUCGCCCUGCAGAUAUUGUUUUCUCGUUCCCGGCGGCCUGCGGGUCACAAAUAUCGACUGGGCCGCUUCCUGUUAUACGAAUGAAACCGUAUUCGGGAGAGAGGACGCGAGCAGGCGGGCAGAGGGAGCUGAACACAAAUGAACUUUAAUGUUACAGUUUGGCUACAAGAACACGUAACAUACGCGAACUGUCUGCAGAGUUUAUGUCCUGUUACAGCUGCGGCACAUUCAGCACGAAGCUCUGAGGCAGCUGCUGUUAACAAAGGAGGGAAGAAAGUAAAAGAAAAGAAAGAAAGGAGGAAGUAAAGGAACCUAAGAAAGGAAAUGAAGAAAAGAUGGAAGGAAGGAGGCAAAGAAUGGAGAAAGAACAAAAAAGAAAGAAGAGAAAAGGUAAAAAGAAAAAGCAGCAAACGAAGGAAUAUGAGGAAUGAAAAGGAAAAGGCGGGAUGGAGGAGAGGAAGGAAGGAAGGAAGGAUGAAUUCCUCAACCACUCGUCAAAUAUGUAGGUUUCAUUUCAAAAAUAAA
ensembl:lncRNA